rnacentral:lncRNA from 1 species
GGAGCAGCCCUUAGUAUGAAGUUUGAAUAAUUCGGAAAAAUAUUUAGGUCUCCCAACUAUGAUUGGAAGAUGGAAAAAAAAAGCUUUCGUUAAUUUCAAAGAUAGGUUCGCAAAAAAUAUUAGAAAAUUGGAGUAUCCAGUACCUAUUGCUUGGAGGUAAAGAAGUUUUCAUUAAGUCAGUUUUACAAGCCAUACCAAUUUAUUCUAGGCAAAUUUUUUUGUUACCCUUAACUUUAUGUCGCGAGCUUGAAAAAAAAUUAGUAAGUUUUGGUGGAGAAACCCCAAAACAGGGAAAGGGAUACAUUGGUACGAGUGGAAGAGCCUAUGCAGGCCGAAAGCGCAGGGUGGUUUAGGAUUUAGAGACUUAGUUAAAUUUAAUAUUACUUUGCUCGCUAAAUAGGGUUGAAAAUUAAUCAUGUACCUAGAUUGUUUACUUGCUAGAGCCAUGAAAGCUAAAUGUUACCAAAAUAGUGAAUUUUUAAAAGCAGUUUUAGGAUCUCACCCAUCAUAUACCUGGAGAAGCAUUUGGAGUGUGAGAGGCCUUUUAGAAGAAGGUAUGGGUUGGAGGGUAGGUAAUGGCAAGUCCAUCCUCAUCUAGAAUGAGGAAUGGCUUCCGGGACCUAGGCAAGGGAAAAGUACUGAUCAAGACAUUAAUGUUAACUUUACAACAAUAACAGAUUUGAUCAAUUCAGACCAUUCUACCUGGAGGUUGGAAGUCCUCGAGAAGCUAUUCGACGAAGACCAGAAAAAUAGGAUAAUGACCAUCCUAGUUGUAGGUGUCGAUAUCAUGGACGUUAGAGUUUGGAAGGGGGACAAUACAAGUGAGUACACAGCAAAAAAUAGGUACAAAUGGUUACUUACAGAAGAUACAACAACAAGGGAUGCAACGCUAUCACAAACAACUCUAUAUAAUUUUUACAACAGACUAUGGAAUUUACAACUGACAAGCAAGAUUAAAUUUACAUUAUGGAAAGUAAUAAACAAUUACAUUCCUACUUUCAACAAUUUACAAGCCAGAAGGCUAAUGGUGACGACUAUUAGUCUUUUUUGUUGAUCAAUGAAGGAUUUAGUGAAUUAUAUUUUCUGGGAAUGUCUGAUUUCCAAAAGCAUUCUGCAAGAGGUGGGGAUAGAAACCUCUCCUAACACCCAUGGCCAAAACUGGAAAAUCUGGUUAGCAAAUGUUUUCACCAACAUGGAAGAAGAACAAAGAGAAUAUUUAGCUAUUGCUUUAUGGGUGAUUUGGUAGAAAAGAAAUAAAAUCCACCAUCAGGGCGAAAAGAUGAAUACAGACAGGGUAAUAACAUUUAUCAAAGCAUACAAGGCAGAGAGUACCAGUACAGUAAAAGAAAUAGCAACAUCUGCAGGGUUAUAUAACAGUAUGUGGUCACCACCAAGAGCAAACACGAUCAAAUGCAAUUUUGACGCAGCUUACAACAAUUAUUUGCUUAAAUUAGUUAUGGGAAUCAUGUUCAGAGAUAGUGAAGGACUUAUUUUGGCACUGUGUACUUACCACAACCCCUUUAACACAGACACUACCACGAUGGAAGUGAAAACAUGCCUCCAAGCAGUGACGGUGGCUGAGGCUCCAAGCAGUGACGGUGGCUGAGGAGUUGGGCUUUUGAAAUCUGACAGUAGAAGGGGAUUCUUUGACUGUAAUAAAAAAAAUUGAGCAUCAAAGUUGGAUAAAUCGAACAUAGUAGUGAUAGUUCAUAAAAUAAAAGAAAGAACGCGCAGAUUUGAAACUUUUACAUGCUCUUUCGUGGGACGAUCAGCGAACCAGGCAACGCAUGAGAUGGUUGAAAAAGGCAAGAAAUGGCCAGAUCAAAGGGUAUGGAUUGAGGAGGCCCCUCACAGGGUGGAAAUGAUACUCAGAAAGGAUAGAAGGCCACUGAACGACGGAUGGAAUGGAUCGGAGGAAUAAAUCAUUUAAAAACUCUGACGGUUUCUACUUCGACAAGGACCUAUCGCGGACGAUUUUGGUAUAGACCGACAAAAGAUGGAAUGAUGGUGGUAGACGAGAAGUGUUGAUCAGGCAUUUAAAUUGCGGUCGCGGUCGUGUUUUCGGUCGCGUUGCAUUUAUUGCGAUUACGAACAUAACGGAUGCUAUUGCAGUCAUUGCGGGUAUCGCGGUCGUGAAUUUUAAAAAAAAAUUCACAAAACUUAUUAUAAAAUAUAAUAGCAGUUUUCGCAGUAACGGUUUCGGAUAGUGCCGAUACCGCUAUAUAACGGUCACUAUUUCGAUAACGGACUGCUAUUUAAAUCCCUGGUGUUGAUUACAAGACAAGUGAAGCUACUGGGUUUUCUCAGAUUUUUGGAGUAAUUUGGGUUUAGUCUCGAUGUUUAUUUUACUGUUUUGAUUUUUC